AAAAAGGGCUUCUGUCGUGACUGGCACACGUCGGGCAGCUCUUUUGUCCUGCAUGCGGAAUUGACAUCAAGAGAUUACGGAAGCAUAAUUUUUGAACUCCUGGGCAGCUGGUGAUCGUUGGUCCUGGUGCCCUG